rnacentral:rRNA from 1 species
GGACCUCGCGCCUGAAGAGGAGCCUGCGGCGGAUUAGCUAGUUGGUAAGGUAACGGCUUACCAAGGCGACGAUCCGUAGCCGGCCUGAGAGGGCGGUCGGCCAUACUGACACUGACAUACGGGUCAGACUCCUACGGGAGGCAGCAGUCGGGAAUUUUGGGCAAUGGGCGAAAGCCUGACCCAGCAAUGCCGCGUGAAGGAUGAAAUCCCUCGGGAUGUAAACUUCGCAAGAAUGGGAAGAAUUAGCGAGCGCUAAUACCGCUCGUGAUGACGGUACCAUUUGUAAGCUCCGGCUAACUCCGUGCCAGCAGCCGCGGUAAUACGGGGGGAGCAAGCGUUGUUCGGAUUUACUGGGCGUAAAGGGCGCGUAGGCGGUCAGCACAAGUCAGUUGUGAAAUCUCCGGGCUUAACUCGGAAAGGUCAACUGAUACUGUGCGACUAGAGUGCGGAAGGGGCAACUGGAAUUCUCGGUGUAGCGGUGAAAUGCGUAGAUAUCGAGAGGAACACCUGCGGCGAAGGCGGGUUGCUGGGCCGACACUGACGCUGAUGCGCGAAAGCCAGGGGAGCGAACGGGAUUAGAUACCCCGGUAGUCCUGGCCUUAAACGAUGGAUGCUUGGUGUCUGGGGUUUUAUAGUCCCCGGGUGCCGUAGCUAACGCGUUAAGCAUCCCGCCUGGGGAGUACGGUCGCAAGACUGAAACUUAAAGGAAUUGACGG